rnacentral:rRNA from 1 species
GACAGAGGGUGCAAACGUUGCUCGGAAUCACUGGGCGUAAAGCGUGCGCAGGCGGUUAUGUAAGACAGUUGUGAAAUCCCCGGGCUCAACCUGGGAACUGCAUCUGUGACUGCAUAGCUAGAGUACGGUAGAGGGGGAUGGAAUUCCGCGUGUAGCAGUGAAAUGCGUAGAGAUCAGGAGGAACACCGAAGGCGAAAGCACUCUGCUGGGCCGACACUGACACUGAGAGACGAAGCGAGGGGAGCAAAUGGG